GCUUGUCUCAAAGAUUAAGCCAUGCAUGUCUAAGUAUAAACUGCUUAUACUGUGAAACUGCGAAUGGCUCAUUAAAUCAGUCAUAAUUUAUUUGAUGGUACCUACUACUCGGAUAACCGUAGUAAUUCUAGAGCUAAUACAUGCGUCAGAACCCAACUUUACGGAAGGGUCGUGUUUAUUAGAUACAAAACCAACAUCUCGUUGGUGAUUCAUAAUAACCAAGCGAAUCGUCGGUUUACCGACGAUAGAUCGUUCAAGUUUCUGACCUAUCAGCUUUGGUCGGUAGGGUAUUGGCCUACCGAGGCAAUGACGGGUAACGGAGAAUUAGGGUUCGAUUCCGGAGAGGGAGCCUGAGAAACGGCUACCACAUCUAAGGAAGGCAGCAGG
rnacentral:rRNA from 1 species